GAUGAACGCUGGCGGCGUGCCUAACACAUGCAAGUCGAACGAAGCAAUAAAGACGGAGAUUCGUCAAAGCCUUUAUUGACUUAGUGGCGGACGGGUGAGUAACGCGUGAGCAACCUGCCUUUCAGAGGGGGACAACAGUUGGAAACGGCUGCUAAUACCGCAUAAGCGCACAGUACCGCAUGGUACGGUGUGAAAAACUCCGGUGGUAUGAGAUGGACCCGCGUCUGAUUAGGUAGUUGGUGGGGUAACGGCCUACCAAGCCGACGAUCAGUAGCCGACCUGAGAGGGUGACCGGCCACAUUGGGACUGAGACACGGCCCAA
rnacentral:rRNA from 1 species